rnacentral:piRNA from 1 species
UAGAAGGUCUCUAAGUGGAGUAACUGACU